rnacentral:rRNA from 1 species
GAUGAACGCUGGCGGCGUGCCUAAUACAUGCAAGUCGAGCGAACAGACGAGGAGCUUGCUCCUCUUACGUUAGCGGCGGACGGGUGAGUAACACGUGGAUAACCUACCUAUAAGACUGGGAUAACUUCGGGAAACCGGAGCUAAUACCGGAUAAUAUAUUGAACCGCAUGGUUCAAUAGUGAAAGACGGUUUUGCUGUCUCUUAUAGAUGGAUCCGCGCCGCAUUAGCUAGUUGGUAAGGUAACGGCUUACCAAGGCAACGAUGCGUAGCCGACCUGAGAGGGGGAUCGGCCACACUGGAACUGAGACACGGUACAGACUCCUACGGGAGGCAGCAGUAGGGAAUCUUCCGCAAUGGGCGAAAGCCUGACGGAGCAACGCCGCGUGAGUGAUGAAGGUCUUCGGAUCGUAAAACUCUGUUAUUAGGGAAGAAAAAAUGUGUAAGUAACUAUGCACGUCUUGACGGUACCUAAUCAGAAAGCCACGGCUAACUACGUG